rnacentral:rRNA from 1 species
GAUGAACGCUGGCGGCGUGCCUAAUACAUGCAAGUCGAACGGCAGCACGGGUGCUUGCACCUGGUGGCGAGUGGCGAACGGGUGAGUAAUACAUCGGAACGUACCUUAUCGUGGGGGAUAACGCAGCGAAAGUUGCGCUAAUACCGCAUACGCCCUGAGGGGGAAAGCGGGGGACCGUAAGGCCUCGCGCGAUUAGAGCGGCCGAUGUCUGAUUAGCUUGUUGGUGAGGUAAAAGCUCACCAAGGCGAUGAUCAGUAGCUGGUCUGAGAGGACGAUCGGCCAGAAUGGGACUGAGACAGGGGCCAGACUCCUACGGGAGGCAGCAGUGGGGAAUUUUGGACAAUGGGGGCAACCCUGAUCCAGCAAUGCCGGGUGAGUGGAGAAGGCCUUCGGGUUGUAAAGCUCUUUUGUCAGGGAAGAAACACCGGCUCUAACACAGUCCGGGAAUGACGGUACCUGAAGAAUAAGCACCGGCUAACUACGUGCCAGCCGCCGCGGUAA